rnacentral:tRNA from 1 species
GCAGAAGUCGCGUAGUUGGUCGAGCGCGCACGAUUGGAAAUCGUGUAAGGGUCAAAAGCUCUUCGAGGGUUCGAAUCCCUCCUUCUGCGCCA